ACUAUCUCCCCUCUACACUCAGUGCUGCUGCAGGGUCUCAGCCAUUCACUCUCAAUCCCCAUGCAGCAAGGUCUUAACCAGAAAUACACAGGCUGCAGGAGGGGACCCAGGACACAAAGAUGGCUGGAUGUGGAGAGGAGAAGGGGGACUGCUCCGGUACAUCAAGCGAGGGGCCCAACCAGACUUUGAAUGACGGCGCCAUAAAUGGUGGCGCCAGCAUGUGUAAGAUAUGCAAAAAGAAUUUCCCUGUGCAGUUGCAUAUGUGACAAAUGAAGCACUAUUGAACAGGGAGGAAGCUGCGGCUGCUGGAACAGACAGGGCAGUUGAAUGACUCUUUCUGAACAACAUGCGUGAGGGUGAGCUGGGAUUGGGUGGAUUUAACACAGAGAGGAAGAUCAGAAGUGGGAGGGUGACCUAUUCCGGUAGAAACCUGCCUGACCACUUCCAUUUAGAUGAGCGAGAGGAAAUUGUGUGGCUGCAGAAAGAGGCGUUGGCUUCCGAAGAGGAUCUCACGUUUGCCGAUGGUAUAUGAGUGGGGUAAUGUGAGUGCAGUGGAUGUUACCAGACCAGCUGAGUUAUUCCAGCAUUUUGUGUCCACCACCUGUGAUUUCUGUUGGUUCGAUAGGCAAUGACCUAGGCUACUGUACAAAGAAUGGUAAUCCAGAAAGGCAACAGAGAUUAUAAACCCAAUUGGGGGAGUGACGGGAAGAGACGGUUAUCAGCAUUCUAAUUUGAUCGGAGCAUGCUGACCGGUUGCAUCGUGGCUUGGUUCGGUAACUUGAGAGCCCUGGAGAGGAAAAGACUACAAAAAGUAGUAAACGCUGCCCAGUCCAUCAUCGGAUCUGACCUUCCUUCCAUCGAGGGGAUUUAUCACAGUCGCUGCCUCAUAAAGGCUGGCAGUAUCAUCAAAGACCCACACCAUCCUGGCCACACACUCAUCUCCCUGCUACCUUCGGGUAGAAGGUACAGGAGCCUGAAGACUGCAACGACCAGGUUCAGGAAUAGCUACUUCCCCACAGCCAUUAGGCUAUUAAACCUGGCUCGGCCAAAACUUUGAACAUUAAUAACCCAUUAUCUGUUAUUUGCAUCUGUUAUUUAUUCAUGUCAAUGCCUACUAUGUUCUGUUGUGCUGAAGCAAAGCAAGAAUUUCAUUGUCCUAUCAGGGACACAUGACAAUAAACUCAUUUGAACUUGAACUUGAACUAUUGUGUUGUUUUUUUUUGUUCUAGGAAGUAGAAGCCAUGGGUUUCAAGAUGUUAUUAACGCAGCCUGGUUAGUUAUUGAUGGUAUUGCAGCGGGUGGACUGUGGCGGAAGGAGAUAUUGUGAAACUAUGCACAUGGUUGAUCAUUCAUUCUGAGGACUAAAAGCCAGUCUAAAGAUUGUAAAGGGGUUAGAUCUAGUGUUGGCCUUUAUUGCAAAGUAUGGAUGUCUUUGGUUUCAUCUGUACAGAUCAUUGGUGAGAUCAUACCGGGAGUGCUGUGUAAAUGUUUAAGGAGGGAUAUCCUUACAUUGGAGGUGGUUCAGAGAAGGUUCAUUUGUUGAUUCCCAAAGGUUGGCUUAUGAGGAAAGGUUGAGCAGGCUGGGUGUGGCUCACUGGUUCUGAUGAAUGAAAGAUGCUUUUAUUGAAAAAUAUAAGCUUUUGGGGGGAGAGGGGGUCUUGACAGUCUGAGAAUGCGAUUCCUUAUUUCAAAAGGAAGUGAGGAGGAAUUUCUUCUCUGAACGAGAGGCAUCUUUGGAGUUUUCAAACCCGGGGAGCUGUGGAGGUGGGGACUUUGCCCAUGUUCAAAGUUGUUAGAUAUUUGGCUUGUCGAGAAACCCAAGGUUCUGGGGAACAAUCAGGAAAGUGGAGCUGAGGCCAAGAUCAGAUGAGCCAGGAUCUUAUUGAAUUGCGGAGCAUGCUACUAGUACUAAAAGGCUACUUCUGCUCCUAUUUAAGUUCUUAUAUAACUGGAAAUUUUUAUGUUGGCGUGUUUAAAAAACAGCAAAUGCCUGAUGAGGUUCAGUCGCUCAUUAACUGAAGCUGCGGUACAACAGGGUUCAGGUGCAGGAAUAAUCCUUUCAACCCACCAGGCCCCGAGGCUAGGUGGAUAAACAGCAGCCGCAGAGCAAAGCUGGAAAAGCUAUAACUAUAACAGAGCCUCACAGUGAUUAUAACAUAGCGACUGAUUACAAGUUAUAAUAAUCACACUGAUUAUAGCAACCCUACUUGUGGCUCCAGCGAAGGAUAUCAAACAAUGAAACGCAGUCAAAAACUCCCCUCCAAUCCUCUCCAGGGCAUGUGGCACAUAUUCAAUGGAUGCACCUGGCACCAGGUCAUCAGUUACCACCAACCCCUUCCCCUAAGAUUACUCUUAGGCGGUCUGACUCUCACACGGACUACAACAAUGUAGAAACAAAGAACCGCAAAUGUACGAGACUCUAUUAAGCAAAAUCGAUCAUCGGAGCACUUGUUGUAGUCGGAUCUAGACACAGAGUGCUGGAGUAACUCAGUGGGUCAGGCAGCAUCUCUGGUAGUAGGGUAGAUGGCUCUCUGGGGGAGGUCAAGAGGAGGAAGAGUGUUAGAGACAGGAGAAGGGGGGUUCAUCGCUGGACCGUGAGGACUUCUUCCCAUAGAAGAAGGCAUGGAGGUGGAGAAAAAGCUCUCUGUCAUGACAAGGGUGGAUGUCAUUGAGGAGUCUGAGGAAGAGUCCCAACCCAAAAUUUCACCUAUCGUUUUGCUCCAGAGGUGCUGCCUGACCCGCUGAGUUACUCCAGCACUCUAUGUCUAUCCGACUACAACAAGCGAUCUAUUAUAAGAUUUUGCAUAAUAGAUUCUCCCACAGGGGGCCUGCAUGGCUAGUGGAAGAACAGGGGCCACAGCCCCCUUAUAAUCAUUAGCCAAGUUAAAUGUUGCGCAGAAAGUGGUUGAAGGUAAAACCCUGCAUGCUGUUCUGGCCUCACUGAUAACAUUGCUCACAGCGACUGUGGUUUAUGUCUGCGGAAUGCUGUCUGCUGUGAGCUCACAGGCAGUGGGUGCAGGGAUCUGCACAGUCAUUCGACAUGUUGGGACAUGCCUGCUUCUGAU